GGGCCGGUGAGCUCAGUAGGUUGAGUGUGGUGCUGACAACAAUGACAACACUGAGGUGGCAGGUUCAAUUCCUGCUCGGUCCC
rfam:Apaloderma vittatum contig50192, whole genome shotgun sequence.